rnacentral:misc_RNA from 1 species
CCUCAGUCCCCACUUCCUUCCCUGUCUGCUAGUGCUUCCCUAAUCCUUUUCCUUUCUUCUAUCAUUUCGUCCAGCCUCCACGCACCUUAAACCUCCUGCAAUCUCAUCCUCGACGGCCUUAAGUCUCCUAUACUCCAUCUUGUUCUGUUGCGUGUUGCUUCAACCCUCGACCGCCAUUGAAGUUGAAGCCGUCUGUCUACAUCGCUGUUGAAGCUAUUCUCUCCUUCUCUGUUAAAGCAUUGCUUUCCUUCAAUCCUGGAUUGUUUGCUCUGUUUGGUGGGUAUACUGUAUAAAUAUGAGGAUCUGUGUUUUCUUUGAUUUGAGGAUUUAAUUCCUGUUUGCUUUGAUUUCGUCUGAGGAUGGAAGUCGUUGUGUUUCUGAUUAUGUUAUGUUUAACUUUCUUUGCUUUAAUUCCUGUUCGAUUUCAAUCCUUUGCAUGCAAUUUUACAUUUUUAAUGGAUAAUGCAAAAUGUCCACUGGUCCCGUCGAAGCUCUUUUUCAUGGUGAAGAGAGAGACCACUACUCUAUUCAUUUUUCUUGUUUCCCCUUUUCUUUUCUUCUGUUAAGAAAAAAAUAAAAAAAAAAUUCAUCCCUCUUAUCCUAACUAUUAAAAAUCAAACUAUUGUUGCCUCCAUUAAAUCUUUCAUCCUGAGUCGCUUUCCAUACUUCCCAUUGCCCUCAGUCCUCUUGGUCUCUGCAUCAAAUAAUGCCCAAAUCAAUAUUUAACUAUUUUAAAGGCUACAUUUUGAUUAAAGCUCAUUUUCGUAGUUUCUUAUCUUAGGACCCAGAGAAGAAAUGGAAACCCCAAAUUCAAAUCUGUUAAUACAAUUAAAUAGAUAUGCAAAUAUAUCAUUAAAGAAAAAUCCACAUGACAAUGGAAGGAAAUCAAAGAACAAAGCAGCACCUUUUUGGAAGCCUUCUUUUCUCUAACUUCAUACCUCUCCUGACACAAAUCUGUUAACCAUGCACCUGGACUGACCAACUGCACAUACAAUUAGAAGAAAAAAAGAUCUAAGAAAACAAACAAUCCCAGAGCAAGGGUAUGAAAAUAUCCGGUUCCCAGAGGGCACAUUGAGGAGACUUACAAGUAGAGUUUUUUGUAUCAGCUUGGCUCUUUUCUUAGGCCUUUCAUAGCCAUGAAAUCCUCUUCCUUCUCUUUGCUAGACAACGAAAUAAACAGCUUAGGCCAAACAAGACUCUUAUCUUCCUUCACAUUAUCCAUCAAAACCUUGCCAUUAUCAUCAAAUCCCAAUGAUCCCCUUGUUGUGUAAUAUCGAUCUUCUUUUUCUGGUGACAGUGCCGAUGACUUCCUAUUGUUCAUUGGCAAAUCAGAACUCCUAAAAACACACACAUACCAUAAUAAAAUCAGUGCUUUUAACAUAUUUUGCAUGGCUUGCUAGCAAUAACCAACAGGGAGAUGGAAUUCAAAAUCAGUUGUGAUCUGAGUAGGAUUACCCUGAUUUCAAACAGUUUUAGAAUUUCAAUUUUUCCCUUUUCUGUUUUCCCACGUUCUAUCAACUAGACAGGCUAAAACCCCACAUUCAACAUAAGGAAAACAUCCUAAAUUAUAAUGAAUCAUUUCUUAAGCAUACAAAUACUAACAAAUAAAGCUUACAAACAAAUAAACUGUACAUUUCUUAAGCAUGCCAAACACUGAAAUUUUCCAAAGCCUUGUUUUGUAAACAGUAAAACACGAGACAAUUGAAUAAGUACAACUCUAACAAAUGCUUCAAUGAAUUUUCCUCGCGCAUUCUCACAGAUAUAAGAAAUUUUCUUUACGUUGGGGAUUAAAGGUGUGAGAGGUUAGGAUUCUUACUUGAUGACACGAGAAGGAGAUUCCUUCUCGGCAGUGACAAUACGAGAUGUGAAUUUCUUCUUUGGCAAAGAAUCAAUUGGUUUAGAUUUGUUGGCCAAGUUUUGGUCUUUUUUCACUUUCACACAUCUAAGCCUCUUUUUGGUUCCCCAUUGCAACACAAAAUCCGUUUCUGUAGCUGUUUGACUCUUCUUUUCCUUCUCCAUUCUCUCUCUCUCUCUCUCUCUCU